UGAACUUGAAGCAAGGCAACAUGAAUAUGAAGAAGUAUGCCUAAAAUUUUAGCAACUGUCCCGUUAUGCCCCAAAGUUGGUAUCUAAUACAAGGUCCUAAAUGAGAAUGUUUUCUUAUGGUUUGUCUUAUGACCUGGUAUUGGAAUGCAAGGCUGUGAGGUUGAAUAAUGAUAUGGACAUCUCCAGGUUGGUGGUUUAUGUACAGUGGUAGAAAAAGAGAGAAAAAAAUAGGUAAAUAUGGAAGAAAGGUAGAAUAAGAAGUUUAGAUAUUCAGAGUAGGGUGCAAAUCAAUAGAAUA
rnacentral:lncRNA from 1 species